GUUGCCUCGGCGGGCCCCGCGCCCGCCGACGGCCCCCCUGAACGCUGUCUGAAGUUGCAGUCUGAGACCUAUAACGAAAUUAGUUAAAACUUUCAACAACGGAUCUCUUGGUUCCGGCAUCGAUGAAGAACGCAGCGAAAUGCGAUAACUAAUGUGAAUUGCAGAAUUCAGUGAAUCAUCGAGUCUUUGAACGCACAUUGCGCCCUCUGGUAUUCCGGAGGGCAUGCCUGUCCGAGCGUCAUUGCUGCCCUCAAGCCCGGCUUGUGUGUUGGGCCCCGUCCCCCCCGCCGGGGGGACGGGCCCGAAAGGCAGCGGCGGCACCGCGUCCGGUCCUCGAGCGUAUGGGGCUUCGUCACCCGCUCUAGUAGGCCCGGCCGGCGCCAGCCGACCCCCAACCUUUAAUUAUCUCAGGUUGACCUCGGAUCAGGUAGGGAUACCCGCUGAACUUAAGCAUAUCAAUA
rnacentral:rRNA from 1 species